UCGAACGCUUCUUUCCUCCCGAGUGCUUGCACUCAAUUGGAAAGAGGAGUGGCGGACGGGUGAGUAACACGUGGGUAACCUACCCAUCAGAGGGGGAUAACACUUGGAAACAGGUGCUAAUACCGCAUAACAGUUUAUGCCGCAUGGCAUAAGAGUGAAAGGCGCUUUCGGGUGUCGCUGAUGGAUGGACCCGCGGUGCAUUAGCUAGUUGGUGAGGUAACGGCUCACCAAGGCCACGAUGCAUAGCCGACCUGAGAGGGUGAUCGGCCACACUGGGACUGAGACACGGCCCAGACUCCUACGGGAGGCAGCAGUAGGGAAUCUUCGGCAAUGGACGAAAGUCUGACCGAGCAACGCCGCGUGAGUGAAGAAGGUUUUCGGAUCGUAAAACUCUGUUGUUAGAGAAGAACAAGGACGUUAGUAACUGAACGUCCCCUGACGGUAUCUAACCAGAAAGCCACGGCUAACUACGUGCCAGCCAGCCGCGGA
rnacentral:rRNA from 1 species